rnacentral:rRNA from 1 species
AACGCGAAGAACCUUACCAAGCCUUGACAUUGAUAGAAUCUUCCAGAGAUGGAGGAGUGCCUGCUUGCAGGAACUUGAAAACAGGUGCUGCACGGCUGUCGUCAGCUCGUGUCGUGAGAUGUUGGGUUAAGUCCCGCAACGAGCGCAACCCUCGUCGUUAGUUGCUAACAGUUCGGCUGAGCACUCUAGCGAGACUGCCUUCGCAAGGAGGAGGAAGGUGAGGACGACGUCAAGUCAUCAUGGCCCUUAUGGCUUGGGCUACACACGUGCUACAAUGGGGCGUACAGAGAGUUGCGAUACCGCGAGGUGGAGCUAAUCUCAUAAAGCGUCUCUCAGUUCGGAUUGGACUCUGCAACUCGAGUCCAUGAAGCUGGAAUCACUAGUAAU